rnacentral:tRNA from 1 species
GCGUCGCAAGCUCAAUUGGCAGAGACAUCCGGCUUUUACCCGGAGGGUUCAGGGUUCGAGUCCCUGGCGACGCAC